rnacentral:tmRNA from 1 species
GGGGGCGACCAGGUUUCGACGGGGGUGAUGAAGCAUGGACUGCGUGCCGAGGUUGAUCGGUUGGCCUCGUAAAAAGCCGAUCACAAUCUAACUGCCAACGAACCAUUGGCACUCGCCGCGUAACUUAACGCGACGCGUCUUACCCUCGACUACCUGCUAGGGGGACUAAGGCGACGACAGCGGGUCUUGAGUCCGGAGUGUGGUUGAAGACUCCGGAGGAGAGUACCGACUUCACCUAGCGGCCUUGCGCAGCGCGCCUGACGCGGCGCACGGUGGCGAAUCCUAAUUAAAAGGCUACGCACGUAGACGUUUAUGUCGAUGCACUCUCGGACGCGGGUUCGAUUCCCGCCGCCUCCACCA